rnacentral:rRNA from 1 species
CAGAGGUCCCGAGCGUUGUUCGGAUUCACUGGGCGUAAAGGGUGCGUAGGUGGUGAGGUAAGUCGGAUGUGAAAGCUCCAAGCUCAACUUGGAAAUGGCAUUGGAAACUACCUUGCUAGAGGGUUUGAGGGGGGACUGGAAUACUUGGUGUAGCAGUGAUAUGCGUAGAUAUCAAGUGGAACACCAGUGGCGAAGGCGAGUCCCUGGAAAACUCCUGACACUGAGGCACGAAAGCUAGGGGAGCAAACAGGAUUAGAUACCCUGGUAGUCCUAGCCGUAAACGGUGCGUAUUUGCUGUAAAAGGAAUCGACCCCUUUUGUGGCGUAGCCAACGCGUUAAAUACGCCGCCUGGGAAGUACGGUCGCAAGAUUA